UACGGAGGGAGCUAGCGUUAUUCGGAAUUACUGGGCGUAAAGCGCACGUAGGCGGCUUUGUAAGUUAGAGGUGAAAGCCUGGAGCUCAACUCCAGAAUUGCCUUUAAGACUGCAUCGCUUGAAUCCAGGAGAGGUGAGUGGAAUUCCGAGUGUAGAGGUGAAAUUCGUAGAUAUUCGGAAGAGCACCAGUGGCGAAGGCGGCUCACUGGACUGGUAUUGACGCUGAGGUGCGAAAGCGUGGGGAGCAAACAGG
rnacentral:rRNA from 1 species